rnacentral:rRNA from 1 species
CCCUUAGAUGUCCUGGGCCGCACGCGCGCUACACUGAGUGUCUGAGAUACGAGUCUGCCUGGUCCGGCAAGGUCUAGGUAAUCGCUAAAAGACACAUCAUGCUUGGGAUAGAUUAUUGCAAAUAUUAAUCUUGAACGAGGAAUUCCUAGUAAGCGCAAGUCAACAGCUUGCGUUGAUUACGUCCCUGCCCUUUGUACACACUGCCCGUCGCUACUACUGAUUGGAUGUUUAAGCGAGGUUCUCGAACUGCUAGCGACUUAGCUUCGGUGAGGUCGCAGUGUGGGAAGUGAACCUAGCUUUGGUGUCUAGAGGAAGUAAAAGUCGCAACA